CGACACCAGUUCUUGCUUCAGCCUAGCUCCCGCGGUUCCUGGGCGCGGCGGCUCGGUGCUGGGUGCUUCUGCGUCUGCCGUGUUUGGCCCGGGUUCCUCCCGUUGUUCCCCUGGGAGGGUGGCUUAACUGGGCCUCCGUUCUCAACGUUCCGCUUCGGGGGUUUCUCCUUGCCCGUCUUCCGAGCGGCGCUGGCCACCACGCCACCCUUGGGUGGCGUUGGCAGCGAGGAACUUCAGGAGCGAUCCCAGCUAGCGCCUACCAGGAAUCUUGGAUGUCUGUGAGGGCUGUUUGGCCACUCAUGUACUUGGGCCAAAUUCUUGAAUCCAGUAAACUUUGUUGAGUGUAUACCCUGUCAGGCAUUACACUAAGGUCCAUACUAAAGUGUAGAGGUUGAUGGAAGUGUUCCGUAUUGCUUAAUGGUAGAGUUAUGUAUUAAGUUACUGCAGUCAGAUCUUGAUCUUUCUUGAUUGCAAAGUGAGAUUAUCACAUUGCUAGACUAAGCUUCUCAAGGUCUCUGUAGAUCCUUCAUUGUGCCUUUCAGGUAAUACCUAUUAGUUAAGGAACCAACUAGAUUCCUCAUUGGGUCUAUUUGGAAUUGAGAGGAGCCAAAACAAAUUUAGUCCUCCCAUUAGAUAAAUAGUAGAAAAAGGAAUUUGCCUAAGGGAUAUCUAGUAGAUAUUAAAUGUGGGAGGCUUUUGCUUAAAAAAUAAUAGUAUUUUGGGCUGAAAAUACUCAAAAUAUAAUUCAUUUCACAAUGAUUUUCAUAUAUUCAUUUUUUAUUUAUGAUUUCAUAGUAGGCUACUCCAGGAGACUAGUAGUUCUUAUAUUUUCUAGUCUAUUUGAAACUAACUCAAGGAUAUAGACAUGCUUUCACUCUAGUGUCUUAGGAGAAGGCUCUGUAGGAGGUAUGGGCCUGGAUCAGAUUAAACUAAUAGCAACAGUUUCUAAGAAAACUGUCCUACUGUAUGUAGUGACCUACUUGAAGUUCCCCUUAGGGCAACAUAUAUAAAAGGUGAAAAGUAUUAUGAUUUGUGAUACAUACACAGGCUUAUUUAGUUUGAAGUGUUUGUACUGUUUACUUUGACCUAUUAUCUGUCAUACCUUUUAGGUGUGAUAAUUCAACUUAAUUUUCUUUACCAAGAUCCACAAACCCCAAAUAAUUACUUUUUCUCUUCCCAUUUCCUCCAGGGCAUACACAAAUUGCAGUGUGUUCUAAGGCAUUACAAAGUAACAAAAUAAUACUGUUAGAUUUAUAAAAUGAGUCCUAAUAAGACAUUUCAGGGACAUGUUGAAGCAUCAUCAGUUGUAAGUUAGCACUAUUAAAGGAUUAAAUCUUGUAGGAUGAAGGUGGAGAGUUAAAGUAGUAAAGAAUCUUGCUAGCAGAUCUGUGAGUAAGUCGAAAACGAAUCUGUUAUAUCACCAGUUUUACUUGCUUUUGAAAUUAUUUUGUGCUUUCAACAAGGAAGAUGGAAAGACCCAAAGGAGAUUUCAGAAUGGUUGUUUGAAACUUUUAUCCCCAUUGAGGUAUAAAGACAGUGAAUUUUGAAAAUUAUCCUGAAUUAAGAAAGGACUUAAAUAAAUGACUUUACUUAAAACUGUUCCCUUUAUUUGAAAUAAUUUUACUGUUAUUCUAUAUAAAUGAUUAGUAAUUUAAAAUAAUAUUUUCAGGGCCCUUAGCCUUUGGUUGGGAUGAUGUUUGAUAGUCAAAAAAUAGUUGUUUCCAUUUAAUCUGAUAUAUCUUACACAUUUCUAAAUGGCAGUUUAAGUAGAAGGGAAAGUAUUUUUUGUCUAGCAGGGGUAACGUCUUGUGAUAGAAAAGUUUUUAAUGUUGACUUCUCAAUAUUUUAACUUUUC
rnacentral:lncRNA from 1 species